rnacentral:rRNA from 1 species
GACGAACGCUGGCGGCGUGCUUAACACAUGCAAGUCGAACGGAAAGGCCCUGCUUUUGUGGGCUGCUCGAGUGGCGAACGGGUGAGUAACACGUGAGUAACCUGCCCUUGACUUUGGGAUAACUUCAGGAAACUGGGGCUAAUACCGGAUAGGAGCUCCUGCUGCAUGGUGGGGGUUGGAAAGUUUCGGCGGUUGGGGAUGGACUCGCGGCUUAUCAGCUUGUUGGUGGGGUAGUGGAUUACCAAGGCUUUGACGGGUAGCCGGCCUGAGAGGGUGACCGGCCACAUUGGGACUGAGAUACGGCCCAGACUCCUACGGGAGGCAGCAGUGGGGAAUAUUGCACAAUGGGCGGAAGCCUGAUGCAGCAACGCCGCGUGCGGGAUGACGGCCUUCGGGUUGUAAACCGCUUUCGCCUGUGACGAAGCGUGAGUGACGGUAAUGGGUAAAGAAGCACCGGCUAACUACGUG